AGAUUGAACGCUGGCGGCAGGCCUAACACAUGCAAGUCGAGCGGCAGCACGGGUACUUGUACCUGGUGGCGAGCGGCGGACGGGUGAGUAAUGCCUAGGAAUCUGCCUGAUAGUGGGGGAUAACGUUCGGAAACGGACGCUAAUACCGCAUACGUCCUACGGGAGAAAGUGGGGGAUCUUCGGACCUCACGCUAUCAGAUGAGCCUAGGUCGGAUUAGCUAGUUGGUAGGGUAAAGGCCUACCAAGGCUACGAUCCGUAACUGGUCUGAGAGGAUGAUCAGUCACACUGGAACUGAGACACGGUCCAGACUCCUACGGAGGCAGCAGUGGGGAAUAUUGGACAAUGGGCGAAAGCCUGACUCCAGCCA
rnacentral:rRNA from 1 species